GGGAAAACAACAUUGACCACAUAACCAAAGCCAUCAAAUCGAAAACUGUGGAUGUGAAUAUGACAGAUGAAGAGGGCAGAGCUCUGCUCCACUGGGCAUGCGAUCGAGGACAUAAGGAGCUGGUGAAAGUCUUGCUACAGUGUGAAGCCGGCAUUAAUUGUCAGCUGGGUAAUAUUCCAUCGUACACACAUGCUGCUGUUGGACAGUUAAAGUUUCUUUUUUCCCUUCAGUUUUUCGUUUAUUAUGAAUAAAGCAGGCUGAGAACAUU
rnacentral:lncRNA from 1 species